UAGGGAAUCUUCGGCAAUGGACGGAAGUCUGACCGAGCAACGCCGCGUGAGUGAAGAAGGUUUUCGGAUCGUAAAGCUCUGUUGUAAGAGAAGAACGGGUGUGAGAGUGGAAAGUUCACACUGUGACGGUAUCUUACCAGAAAGGGACGGCUAACUACGUGCCAGCAGCCGCGGUAAUACGUAGGUCCCGAGCGUUGUCCGGAUUUAUUGGGCGUAAAGCGAGCGCAGGCGGUUAGAUAAGUCUGAAGUUAAAGGCUGUGGCUUAACCAUAGUACGCUUUGGAAACUGUUUAACUUGAGUGCAAGAGGGGAGAGUGGAAUUCCAUGUGUAGCGGUGAAAUGCGUAGAUAUAUGGAGGAACACCGGUGGCGAAAGCGGCUCUCUGGCUUGUAACUGACGCUGAGGCUCGAAAGCGUGGGGAGCAAACAGGAUUAGAUACCCUGGUAGUCCACGCCGUAAACGAUGAGUGCUAGGUGUUAGACCCUUUCCGGGGUUUAGUGCCGCAGCUAACGCAUUAAGCACUCCGCCUGGGGAGUACGACCGCAAGGUUG
rnacentral:rRNA from 1 species